UCUCUUGCGGUUUUGUCUGAGGUGAAAUGCUUUUCACGCUCAUCUCGAUUUCCUCUUUCUGCAGGUCCCCCCCUUGCCAAAAGAGACCAGUCCUUCAGCAUGUGUCCCAUAAUUUCACUUCCUCCCAACUACAGACCAAGGAACUCAACCCCUCUUUGUGUUGUGAGCCUCUUCAGAUGACCUUUAGAACAGCACAGUCUACAAAUAGACCCUUACCCACAAACAGCUGCUUCUGCUGAGCUCUAUUCAAUACCACAGAAUACACAGAUGUACCCAAAAGUGGUUACGAUCAGUGCAGCAAUGUUUUAGGUUAAUAAAUGCCAUUGAGUGGUAUUUGAUA